AUUCUAGCCUCUCUUCUUUGGUCCUUUUUUGUUAGUAUGCUGCUCAGCUAGAUAGUCCUGAUUUUUUUAUUUGUAUGCCCAAUUUUCUCUCUUAGCUAUUGUUUUUAGUUGGUCACUUGUUUUCUUUUUGUUGUUGUUGUUGUGUUGCUUUUCAACUACUUCUCCAAUUUGUCAGAAUUUCUUUGAACAGCAGGCACAGUCUCCAGUAGUCUUUCAGCAAUACAUGACUUACAAGUGACACCCGUAGUCACUCAUACAUUUAAUGAAAGUAGGGAAUAUAAGAGGAUACAGGAGAAAUAUACUGCCAAACUUUAGAGAGAGAAAAACAAACAAACAAAAAAACUAACCAACCAACCAAACAAAAAAUGUUGACAGCUUCUCUUUAUGUUUUCUUCAAUCAGUUGUUCAUUUAUCAUUGAGUAAUUUAUUCAAGAUACUAUGUCCCUCUUUGGCUUAGGAGAAUGUCUUGCAAAGCAACAUCAAAAGACUUAGUAAAAUCCAUUGGAAUAUGAAACUAAUUUCAGUUUAUUUAACAGGCCUUUCUAAAAUGAAGGGAAGGUGUGUAUGAUUUUUAUUUUCUUUUUGCUGCCAACUUGUUUCUCUUUUUUGCUCACUUAUUUCAUCACUAUUUCUCCUCCUCCUCAAGCUCAUAACCAAGGGGGGUUUUGGUGAACUGGUUCAAAAAAAAAAUGAUGCUAAAGACACUAAAGGAAAAAAUGUGCAUCAUUAUAACACUUCUAUAAUGAUCAGUAAGAGAUAAAUUCAGCUGAUUAAUUAAAAAAUAACAUUGAAUUUAGAGUCGAACUUUACUACCUCUAAUCAUAAUUACUCAAAUACUCCUACUGACUACAGGGAGAUGGGUACCUUGCCUGUUUUGCAAGAGUCUUGAAAAAACUAUUACGUAAAGAAUCAUUUGGUCUUUGUCUAGAGAAGUGUGACUGCAUGUGUAUUUAAAAAGAAAGCAGGCAAAUUAAAAACACUUUAUGUAAAAUCAGUAUUUCUCAAUACUUAAGAAUAAUUGCUUUUGAUUUCUGCUUUAUUGUAUAGCUGCUUUGCAUUGCAUGCAAUAUAUCAUGUUCAAUACAGUUUUACCUAUCUUGUAAAGGGGAGCUCAUUCCUCUCUCAUUCACCCUGUCCAACAGCAAGGAGACAGUCAGUGAGAUGAAGAGUGUCAAAUAUCCUUCUAAUGCAUAAGAAAUGCCUUCUGUGGAAUGCAAGAUGAUUUUGUGGAAAGUGCUGUCAUAGGAGACCAGUGACUGAGGCUUUUCUAAGUGAUUUGACAUACAGAUAAAUAAUGAGAUAAACUUAUAGUGAAUUAUGAUAGUAACUUUGAAAUAAUUAUUUAAUGCAACAUCUCAAGAUUUGGAAAAAUGAGCAGUCUGAGAAAUAAUGAAAAGAAUAGACUAAUUCUGACUACAGAUUUUGGUUCUGAGCAGUUAUGGCAACACUUCUGUUUUGAAGUCCUCAGAUUAAGCACUAUGAUGAAAAUUGAUUGCAAAAACAUAAAUGCCUUAUUUUCACUCUAAUAUGCAAAAAUAGCAUUGAACCAAACUGGUUUACACUCUUAUUGGCUUAGGAUAAAUCAACCACUUGAGCCUCAAGCUUUGGAUCCUAGUUUUGUGAUUUCCUUUCAAAUUGUAAUGGCAGAUACUGGCACACUGGUCAACUGCUCACAUACAUGUUUGCUACUCAAAACUUCUGCGUAUUGGAUAAGACAAUUGCUACACAACAAAUUGGACCAGCACAUAAUUCCUGAGUUGGAAUCCUGCUCCCUCUUUUCUUGGAGUUAAACUGCCAAGCAGUUAAAAUCAAACCAGCAGGUCAUCAACUAAUCUAAUAGUAUUGGCAUGACUAGCUACCCUCAUCCUUGGAAAUUUGCAAGAAGAAAAGGAAUGAGGAAAUAGUUCAAUAAGCCAAGACAAGUGUUUUGCCUGACGUUUUAUUGGUGUCACUGAUAUUAGAUUAUGGCAUAGUCUUAAUCGAUAAAAGAAUUUCUAAACGUUGUCAAGGUUAUCAAAGUUGCAGGUGUUGCAAAAAGGAAAAAUUCAGUUAAGUUGCAGAAAUAUUGUCCU
ensembl:lncRNA